rnacentral:lncRNA from 1 species
UGGGUAGGUGGAGAUCAGGACAAAGCAAAGGCAUGGAGAGAAAGGCAAGGACGUUUCAAGAUAUGGAGAGCAACCACCUUUACCCUUACCUUGAGGACCUGAGAAAAGAUGCAGAUGAAAGUCUCUUCACUGUUUGGUGUCUGAACAGGAGAGCACCAGCUGCACUGGAGGAAAAACUCCUUUGUCACAUGGCCAGUAUCCAGAGGGACUUGGACAAGCUUGAGAAGUAGGCCCAGGUGAACCUAAUGAGGUUCAACAAGGUCAAGAGCAAGGUGCUGCACCUGGGUUGGGGCAAUCCCAGACACGAGCACAGACUGGGAGAACUCAUGGAGAGCAGCCCUGCAGAGGACUUGGGGCUUCUCGUGGACAAAAAGCUUGACAUGAUCCAGCAGUGAAUGCUUGCAGUCCAGAAGGCCAACUACAUCCUGGGCUGUAUCAACAGAGGGAUACCUGCAGACUUUUCCUGAACAUGUCAAAACACUGCAGGCACCACAUUACAGUAUGUGUACUACAAUUAAAAAUACCUCCCAG